AUUGAACGCUAGCGGGAUGCUUUACACAUGCAAGUCGAACGCGUGGCGGACGGGUGAGUAAUAGAUCGGAACGUGCCCAGUAGCGGGGGAUAACUACUCGAAAGAGUGGCUAAUACCGCCUACUAUCGGAGCGGCCGAUAUCGGAAUAGCUAGUUGGUGGGGGAAAUGCUCACCAAGGCAACGAUCCGUAGCCGGUUUGAGAGGAAGACCCGCCAAACUGGGACUGAGACACGGCCCAGACUCCUACGGGAGGCAGCAGUGGGGAAUUUUGGACAAUGGGGGAGACCCUGAUCCAGCCAUCCCGCGUGUAUGAGAAGGCCUUCGGGUUGUAAAGUACUUUUGGCAGAGAAGCGGUAUCUGCAGAAUAAGCACCGGCUAACUACGUGCCAGCAGCCGCGGUAAUUC
rnacentral:rRNA from 1 species